UACGUAGGGGGCUAGCGUUGUCCGGAAUCAUUGGGCGUAAAGCGCGUGUAGGCGGUCCGGUAAGUCCGCUGUGAAAGUCGGGGGCUCAACCCUCGGAUGCCGGUGGAUACUGUCGGGCUUGAGUACGGAAGAGGCGAGUGGAAUUCCUGGUGUAGCGGUGAAAUGCGCAGAUAUCAGGAGGAACACCAGUGGCGAAGGCGAGUCCCUGGACAACUCCUGACACUGAGGCACGAAAGCUAGGGGAGCAAACAGG
rnacentral:rRNA from 1 species